AUGGCUACGGCGCUGCGCACCAUGGCCGCGAAGCUGAUGCAGAAGAUCCCCGCCGCUGUCCAGCGGGUUCGCGUCUCUUCUCGUGCUCCGGCACCUGCUGAUGCUGACUUCGACCGCUUCGGCCCAGAGUUUCGCCGGGCACUGGACAAGAUUGUAGAGAAACACAGGAAGAGGCGCAGGGACGAGGCCUUGGCCUGUGGUGCUGGCUUCAGUCUUGGAGCACUCACCUUUUUGCUUGGGGUCCAUCGGCUUGGUUGA
rnacentral:rRNA from 1 species